rnacentral:lncRNA from 1 species
GGCUGCUGGAGGAGGAGUUUGCUCGGCCGCCUCUUCCUCGGGGAUGCUCUGGGAAAGCUCCAGCACAAAGGAGCGGCGCGGCGGGCAGGAGCCAGCGCAACCGGAGCCCCCCAACCCCAGCCCGGCCCCCCGGAGCAGUCCCCUCGCUGCCCCACAGAGCCACGUGGAACAGGGGACAUUGCACAGCACUCCUGUAGCUGGUGACCACAGUGCCACCACCCCAGGGGCACGGCCCAGCUCCUGCCUGGCCAGACUGUCCAUGUCCAGAGGGGAGCCAGGCUCAGGAGCUGCCAUCACCACCAGGACACGAUGCCAGAGCCGGGCUGGCCCCAGCAGAGCACCCUGGUACCCUCUGCCAUGGCGUGGAGCCACCAGCCCAGCCACUGCGGGGGACAUGGCCCAGGAGAUGGCACUGGUGACACCUGAGGACACUGGGCUGAGCAUGCACACGGUUCUCCUGCAAGGUGCUGAGGUGUCCUUGCCUCCCACUGCUGCUCCCAGGCCUGUCCCCUGCCCUGAGCACAGAGUAGGAGGAGGGAGAAGGAAAAGGGAGUGGGGGCAGAGCUGUGCCAGCUCCUCGUGGUGACACGAUGGGCACAGAGCCCACAGGGGCUCUGUUUGUCCCCACUGACCCUGCCCUUCCCUCUGGCUUUCUGGAACACCUGGGUGGAGCCUGGGCAGGGAAUCCUGCUGCCAUGGCCUCUGCAGUGCCCUGUAAGGGUGGGACCCUGUCCUCACCAAGCAGCCACUCGGGCCCAUGUCCCCACACAGGCACAAGGACAGGACGGGGGUGCAGUGGGCUGGGGGCACACACAGCUCAUGGCAGGUGUCACAGCCUUGAAGUCCAAACUGGAAAAGUGUCUCUUGGGGACCAGAGGAGCUUGUGCUGUGGGAGGAGGUGACCCAGAGGGACACAGGGCAGAGGCUUUCCUGGGUGCCCUAUCCCAGCCCUGUUUCCUGGGGCACAGUGCAGCCCUUGGAGCAGUGCUCAGCCCCAUGGAGAGGCAGCUCCUGAUGGGGAGGGGGUAAGCUGUGGGUCACCUUUCUUCUGCUCCAUAGUAGUUUUCCCUGCUGGACCUGCACGUGCAGUGGGAGCUGGGGCAGUCCUGGAGCAGCUGCCAUGGUCUCUGCUGCAGCCUUACCCCAGACACCACCAGUGAUUCUUUCACCCUUCCUUUUCUGCUUCUUGAGCUCCUUCAGAGUCCUUUAGGUGCUGCUGGGGCUCUGUUCUCCAUGCAUCCUGUCUCUCACCUUUCCCAGCACCAGGGGUGGAAAGCCCAUAUUCUGAGGGGGCUCUGGUACCUCCCUGGCAGAGAUCAGAGGGGCAGGAGCCUGCUGAGCAUUUCAUUCAGGGACAGGUUCUGCUACACCACCUAAACCCUCCACUAACACCUCCCCAAAUACCAACACCCAAAACCGCCUCCUGCUCUUGUGAGCCAGAGCCCUGCUGCUGGCAGGCCUGGCUCUGCAUGCUGCCAAUAUUAACCUACUAACCUGCUGGGCCCCCUGUGCCCUCCCUGGGGCUGCCACAGCCCCUGGCACACGGACUAACCCACUAACCAGCCCAGCGCAUGCCCUACUAACCC